GACGAACGCUGGCGGCGUGCUUAACACAUGCAAGUCGAACGGAAAGGCCCCUUUGGGGGGACUUGAGUGGCGAACGGGGGAGUAACACGUGAGUAACCAGCCCUUGAUUUCGGGUUAACUUCAGGAAACUGGGGCUAAUACCGGCUAGGAAUCAUCGCUGCAUGGUGGGGGUUGGAAAGAUUCUGCGGGUUUGGGUGGACGCGCGGCCUACUGGCUUGUUGGUGGGGUGGUGGGUUACCAAGGCUUUGGCGGGUAGCCGGCCUGGGGGGGCGACCGGCCCCCUUGGGGCUUAGGUCCGGCCCCGGCUCCUACGGGGGGCCGCAGGGGGGAAGCUUGACCAAUGGGCGGCAGGCGGAUGCAGCAACGCCGCGGGCGGGAUGGCGGCCUUCGGGUUGUAAACCGGUUUCAGCAGGGGCCAAGCCUGUGGUGACGGUACCUGCAGAAGAAGCACCGGCUAACUACGUG
rnacentral:rRNA from 1 species